UACGAAGGGGGCUAGCGUUGCUCGGAAUGACUGGGCGUAAAGGGCGCGUAGGCGGCUUGUAGAGUCGGAUGUGAAAUCCCUCGGCUUAACCGGGGAACUGCGUCCGAUACUGGAUGGCUUGAGUUCGGGAGAGGGAUGCGGAAUUCCAGGUGUAGCGGUGAAAUGCGUAGAUAUCUGGAGGAACACCGGUGGCGAAGGCGGCAUCCUGGACCGACACUGACGCUGAGGAGCGAAAGCCAGGGGAGCAAACGGG
rnacentral:rRNA from 1 species